rnacentral:rRNA from 1 species
AAAUCCUGCAGCUUAACUGGUGGGAAUGCUGGAGAUACUAUUAGACUGAGACCGGGAGAGGUUAGAGGUACUCCCAGGGGUAGAGGUGAAAUUCUGUAAUCCUGGGAGGACCGCCUGUUGCGAAGGCGUCUAGCUGGAACGGUUCUGACGGUGAGGGACGAAAGUUAGGGGCGCGAACCGGAUUAGAUACCCGGGUAGUCCUAACUGUAAACGAUGCGGACUUGGUGUUGGGGUGGCUUUUGAGCUGCUUCAGUGCCGAAGGGAAGCUGUUAAGUCCGCCGCCUGGGAAGUACGGUCGCAAGACUGAAACUUAAGGAAUUGGCGGGGGAGCACCACAACGCGUGGAGCCUGCGGUUUAAUUGGAUUCAACGCCGGACAUCUCACCAGAGGCGACAGCUGUAUGAUAGCCAGGUUGAUGUACUUUGCUUGACUAGCUGGAGGGGUGGUGCAUGG